UGGGGAAUAUUGGACAAUGGGCGCAAGCCUGAUCCAGCCAUGCCGCGUGAGUGAUGAAGGCCCUAGGGUUGUAAAGCUCUUUCACCGGUGAAGAUAAUGACGGUAACCAGAGAAGAAGCCCCGGCUAACUUCGUGCCAGCAGCCGCGGUAAUACGAAGGGGGCUAGCGUUGUUCGGAUUUACUGGGCGUAAAGCGCACGUAGGCGGACUUUUAAGUCAGGGGUGAAAUCCCGGGGCUCAACCCCGGAACUGCCUUUGAUACUGGAAGUCUGGAGUAUGGUAGAGGUGAGUGGAAUUCCGAGUGUAGAGGUGAAAUUCGUAGAUAUUCGGAGGAACACCAGUGGCGAAGGCGGCUCACUGGACCAUUACUGACGCUGAGGUGCGAAAGCGUGGGGAGCAAACAGG
rnacentral:rRNA from 1 species